rnacentral:rRNA from 1 species
UCGGCUGGAGCUUGCUCCGGCCGUGAGAGUGGCGAACGGGUGAGUAAUGCGUGACCGACCUGCCCCAUACACCGGAAUAGCUCCUGGAAACGGGUGGUAAUGCCGGAUGCUCCAGUUGAUCGCAUGGUCUUCUGGGAAAGCUUUCGCGGUAUGGGAUGGGGUCGCGUCCUAUCAGCUUGAUGGCGGGGUAACGGCCCACCAUGGCUUCGACGGGUAGCCGGCCUGAGAGGGCGACCGGCCACAUUGGGACUGAGAUACGGCCCAGACUCC